AUCAACCUAAAACUAAUUAAAUUUGAUAUUCUUUUAGUUUACUUUAAUAUUUAAUCUUUAUGCAACAGUCUCUAGUUAAUUGGAUUUCAUUGAACAUCACUAAACAGCAUCAUUUUUCAAGUUAAACUUUGCCUUUAAUGAUUGCUGAACACCCUAACCAAAUUAUUGCCAUUUAACUAUCCAUUUGUAUGGUAACAGUGAGUAGGACGUUAACAUUUCACCGUAGGUUAGGUGAUUGAAAUUGAUCAGCUUGCGGUUGAAAUAAAUUGUGUUAAAUUGUGCAACUACUGGAUAACUAAUCAUCUAAAAUUCCUGGAUAUCUGGAAAUCAAGGUGGAAAGACCAACCAUAAAAGACCCAAUGUUUUCUGGUUGUCUAGUUGAUUUAGGAAAACCUUGAAAUUUUAAAUUAUAAUCAAUCUGAGACCAGAUUCCAAUCAAACAGACUCUUGUAUCUUAAUAUUUCACGUGAACAAAUCAAAUUUAAGUCAUGAUAAAGCAAUAAAAACAGAAAAAGUUACAGACGGAUCAGAUUCCAGCUGAUUUCAGGCAAUAUCUUCAUAACUGGUUAUAGAAACAAUGUACCACUAUUUUGAUUGCUGUAUCUGCUCGAUUGACAUUUAAUUAUUGAUUAUAAUUACCCAUAACAUGAGACAUCCAUGUGAAUUCCGUUCGAUCUUAGCUCAUCCCAGAUUGACUUGUCUAAUCUUUACUUGUUGCAAUUUUUUGAUAAAUGAGCUGAAAGAGUAAAAUUUUUUGAUAUGAUUAAUGUCAUUUAAAUCAGAUGCUCAUUAGGGUUAAUAGUAAUGUAUCGAUUGAUGACCCGGUCUCAAUUUUAAAUAAUGUACAAUCAAUUUCUUGUGGUAAGCUUUGAUGAACCAGGUAAAUCUGAUUAUAACGGACAUGAUAUCUUUUCUGUUGUUAUUAAUAAUGGCAAAUUGUGUGUCAGUUACGUUUGAUUAGAGUUUUAAAUUAUACUGAUUGGUUUAUUAAAGAUUCAUAUUUCUAAUAAUGGUAACAGUAAUAGUGAUCAACAUCAUCUUGACAUUGAAUAAAUGUAAUUGGAACUU